CAGCAUGAAGUAAACCACCUCACCACCCACGAGGCCAUGAUAUCGCACUCCUCCCCGACUGUCCCAAUCCGCUGAAGCCGACGGCGACGCCGACGCCGUGCCCCUCCACUUCCUUCGUCGCCGAUGCCCUGCUCCCCAACCGGCAACAAUGUCUCCCCUUCCUUCAACGCCGCCUACUUCUACUGCGUGAACACGUCGACCUGACCUGGAUGGUGCAGAAUCGACUACCUGGCCACCACCGCCGCUGGCUCGCGUAGACCAAGACGAAUGCAACGCGAUGUGGCGCAGUCAUGUCCGUCGGCCGAGCACAAAUCAGGGGUUGACACCUGCACCGGCAAGCCGUCCCCAGCGCAUAGAUCGCCGACGCCCUGCUCCCCUCACCUCCUUCUCCUCCCUCCACCUGCCAUCUAAAGUUGAAUCGGAUCCAGUGGUCUCCCACUGCCUCUAAUGUCCUCAACGACCUGCUCCGACGCAGGGGUGCAGGUCGAGGUCCAUAUGUCCCCAAGUUCUCCCAUGUUUGCCUUCGGUUCCACCCAGGCUAGGUAAUGUUUGAUUUCUGAUCCCUUCCCAAUCUCUCAAGUUCACACAAUUUUGUUAGGCCUCAUUUUAGCUAGGUUAGGAUUAACUGAGUGCACAUCCAUAGUUGCAAAACGUUCUAGACAUUUCCUUGUAAAAUUUCUGGAUAUCAAGAGCCCAGAAGCCGCUGGAAUCGAUCACCGCCUCCCUGCCGGCUACCGGAGCGUACUAGUCAUGCCAACCUCUAGACCCUAUCCAUUUAAUUUCCUGGUGAAGCUGAUCUUCAGGUGCCUCACAAGAUUCAGAAAUUUUAUUUUCUGUCCAUUGUCGUGACUAUCAAUUUCUUCCUUUCCUGCAUGUUUGGUCCAAUUCUUUGAUACAGUGGAUUUGAAUAGGAUAAGUUACUUAGUUGCUAGAGCUCUUCCUGGUUAAAUCAUUUAGACAACAUAGAAAAAGUUCAGAGAAGGUUAAACGAAUCUUAUUUUUGUUAUGGUUUUCCAAAAAAGCAAGUUGCAGCUUGGUACUGCAAGUGCAAGGAGAUUACGCAUUAGGUACCAUACUGUUGGUCUUUUCAAAUUUACGGUGUGAUUAAAUUUUCAGGGUGUGAAAGGGCAUGUCUCAAGUGAUAACCUGGUAGAAAAAGCCUCUGAGGCAGAGUCUGAUUCUGUGUUUCAGCCCUCAGACUCUAAUUUCUACAACAUGUCAACACAUGUUCGUUGGUAAACAGUUUUUUAUUGCCCACUAGUUGUCUGAAUGCAUAAGAAGGAGCUGAUAAAUUGUAGAUUUGCAGUGAUGUGUCUGUUCACGAGAGGAGGGGCAGUAGCAUCACGAUGCGGGUGGCGGGGUGGUAGGCGGCAGCGUGGCAGCAGGAUGGUGUUGGCAGCUGUUAUGAAAAGGUCUGUAACACUGUAUGCUAGGAGGCAAGACUGGCGGGGGUUUAAGGACACACAUUCUGGCUACCCGGGGCGGCCGCCCAUACCAGCCCAUACGGUGGCGCCGCCCCUGUUUGUGUCCAAUUAGUGUUGUUACUGCUCAUUCGUUAGUUUAUUUUUCUUGUUGUAGGGAUCCCCGUGAGGCCUCACCAUAUUACUAGGCUCUACUUUUUGUCAUGAACGAUGAUGAACUCCAUCAAAACAUAGUGUUUUAUUUUUUCCUCUACGGAAUUCCCCCUUUGUGAUUGUGAAUUGUCUUCAGUUUUAUAGCUUAAUUGCCUUGUCAAAAUCACUGGUUGAAUUACCAUAGUUUUUAUUUCGGAAGGUACUAUUAUCUAGGUUUGGAUUUAAAGUAGAUAUAACUCCUAUUGGGGUUGAAGUAAAUACUUCAUGUAGAAUCCUUUUUGAGAUUCUUGUGUGCCAUAGUUGAUUUUCACAUAAAAACUAGGAAUAUUAUGUCAUUAAUUUCUAGGUACAUAUUAUAUCAGAAAAAUCAUCCCCAGGCGUGCCAUUUUUCAGUUCAUAUAGCUAACAGUGUAACAUAAAUGUGCAGUAGCAUAGCAGUUUUAUACUCCUUUCCGUUUCAUGUUUACUCCUUUUUGUAAGCUUAGGUAUGGGUACAUAUAUCUUUACCCACCACAAUACCAUAAGCAUGCUCGAUCAAGGAGACUAAGCAAAACCCUACGAGCAAAAAAUUCCAAUUAAAUUGACAAGAAGAUAUUGAAUAGCCUCAGUUAUCAUUUCACCCUGUUUGGAGUUGGGCGAUAAGCGCCACAUUUACAGACAUUUCUUGUUUGUACGAAUCCUUUUGGUUUGUUUGGUAAAUAUGUUACCAUCUGGUGUAAAAAAUCUGGUAUUUCUAAUAAGUGAGUACUGAUUUCUUUUAUUUGCAAAUGCAGUCGACCAAAUAAUCUCACUUGAACUACAUUUGUGAAUUUAUCAGGAUAUGAUAUAGGGAUUUGAUAUGAAAUGGAGGAAAGGAAGUUCUUUGUAAGCUACUUGCAGACGAAGAGGAAGUAUCUAGAGUCACUGAUGUGCAGUUAAAACGCGACACUCUUAGUUGUACAGUACCAUGUUAGAGGACCACCUCAAAAUCUUUUCUGUUGUAGAAAUUUAUGUAAAAUUCUUUUAAGCUUUACAUUUUUAUGGACACACGAAGCCAUGUAAAAAUUUGUACAUCGUGUGAUUUUAAGAUACUCCAGGUCUUGGGAUAACUCGUGACUGGUGAUUUUAUAUUGACAAGUGCAAUUGCGCAGUAAGUUAUAACGUUA